UCGGGCUAUAUGCAGUCGAGCGGAAGAAGGGAGCUUGCUCCCGGAUGUUAGCGGCGGACGGGUGAGUAACACGUGGGUAACCUGCCUGUAAGACUGGGAUAACUCCGGGAAACCGGAGCUAAUACCGGAUAGUUCCUUGAACCGCAUGGUUCAAGGAUGAAAGACGGUUUCGGCUGUCACUUACAGAUGGACCCGCGGCGCAUUAGCUAGUUGGUGGGGUAAUGGCUCACCAAGGCGACGAUGCGUAGCCGACCUGAGAGGGUGAUCGGCCACACUGGGACUGAGACACGGCCCAGACUCCUACGGGAGGCAGCAGUAGGGAAUCUUCCGCAAUGGACGAAAGUCUGACGGAGCAACGCCGCGUGAGUGAUGAAGGUUUUCGGAUCGUAAAGCUCUGUUGUUAGGGAAGAACAAGUGCGAGAGUAACUGCUCGCACCUUGACGGUACCUAACCAGAAAGCCACGGCUAACUACGUGCCAGCAGCCGCGGUAAUACGUAGGUGGCAAGCGUUGUCCGGAAUUAUUGGGCGUAAAGGGCUCGCAGGCGGUUUCUUAAGUCUGAUGUGAAAGCCCCCGGCUCAACCGGGGAGGGUCAUUGGAAACUGGGAAACUUGAGUGCAGAAGAGGAGAGUGGAAUUCCACGUGUAGCGGUGAAAUGCGUAGAGAUGUGGAGGAACACCAGUGGCGAAGGCGACUCUCUGGUCUGUAACUGACGCUGAGGAGCGAAAGCGUGGGGAGCGAACAGGAUUAGAUACCCUGGUAGUCCACGCCGUAAACGAUGAGUGCUAAGUGUUAGGGGGUUUCCGCCCCUUAGUGCUGCAGCUAACGCAUUAAGCACUCCGCCUGGGGAGUACGGUCGCAAGACUGAAACUCAAAGGAAUUGACGGGGGCCCGCACAAGCGG
rnacentral:rRNA from 1 species